AGCUCGAUGAGUAGGGCGGGACACGUGGUAUCCUGUCUGAAUAUGGGGGGACCAUCCUCCAAGGCUAAAUACUCCUGACUGACCGAUAGUGAACCAGUACCGUGAGGGAAAGGCGAAAAGAACCCCGGCGAGGGGAGUGAAAAAGAACCUGAAACCGUGUACGUACAAGCAGUGGGAGCACGCUUAGGCGUGUGACUGCGUACCUUUUGUAUAAUGGGUCAGCGACUUAUAUUCUGUAGCAAGGUUAACCGAAUAGGGGAGCCGAAGGGAAACCGAGUCUUAACUGGGCGUUAAGUUGCAGGGUAUAGACCCGAAACCCGGUGAUCUAGCCAUGGGCAGGUUGAAGGUUGGGUAACACUAACUGGAGGACCGAACCGACUAAUGUUGAAAAAUUAGCGGAUGACUUGUGGCUGGGGGUGAAAGGCCAAUCAAACCGGGAGAUAGCUGGUUCUCCCCGAAAGCUAUUUAGGUAGCGCCUCGUGAAUUCAUCUCCGGGGGUAGAGCACUGUUUCGGCAAGGGGGUCAUCCCGACUUACCAACCCGAUGCAAACUGCGAAUACCGGAGAAUGUUAUCACGGGAGACACACGGCGGGUGCUAACGUCCGUCGUGAAGAGGGAAACAACCCAGACCGCCAGCUAAGGUCCCAAAGUCAUGGUUAAGUGGGAAACGAUGUGGGAAGGCCCAGACAGCCAGGAUGUUGGCUUAGAAGCAGCCAUCAUUUAAAGAAAGCGUAAUAGCUCACUGGUCGAGUCGGCCUGCGCGGAAGAUGUAACGGGGCUAAACCAUGCACCGAAGCUGCGGCAGCGACGCUUAUGCGUUGUUGGGUAGGGGAGCGUUCUGUAAGCCUGUGAAGGUGUACUGUGAGGUAUGCUGGAGGUAUCAGAAGUGCGAAUGCUGACAUAAGUAACGAUAAAGCGGGUGAAAAGCCCGCUCGCCGGAAGACCAAGGGUUCCUGUCCAACGUUAAUCGGGGCAGGGUGAGUCGACCCCUAAGGCGAGGCCGAAAGGCGUAGUCGAUGGGAAACAGGUUAAUAUUCCUGUACUUGGUGUUACUGCGAAGGGGGGACGGAGAAGGCUAUGUUGGCCGGGCGACGGUUGUCCCGGUUUAAGCGUGUAGGCUGGUUUUCCAGGCAAAUCCGGAAAAUCAAGGCUGAGGCGUGAUGACGAGGCACUACGGUGCUGAAGCAACAAAUGCCCUGCUUCCAGGAAAAGCCUCUAAGCAUCAGGUAACAUCAAAUCGUACCCCAAACCGACACAGGUGGUCAGGUAGAGAAUACCAAGGCGCUUGAGAGAACUCGGGUGAAGGAACUAGGCAAAAUGGUGCCGUAACUUCGGGAGAAGG
rnacentral:rRNA from 1 species